GCCUGUUCAGCAAACUUAUUUUUCUUCCAAUUGCUCGGCAAAUGGCAGACGAUUAGAAUUUUUGGUUUUUGUAUGUAAGUAAACAAAAAGAGCUUUUUUCAAUAGGCAAUUUUUGGUUCACCAAACUCCAACACAAACAAAACGAAAUGUCAAAGUAGGCAAUCAAAAAAUACCAAUCGUCUAUUCACAAAAGUUUUAAAAAUUGAAGAUAUUGGAUGUAAAAUGGAUAUUUAUACUAAAAAAAUAAUUAAAAAAACAACUCCUGGUCAGUUUCGCAUCUUGGUGGAAUCUAUUGACGAAUUCCCAGAGCUAGCAACUUCAAGCCCGAUAUUUGGGAAGUCGAAAUUGAAUCCAAAUGGGAUGUUGUGGCACAAAAAAUAAAUUCGGUUGGACCUCCAAUGCGAAGUGGUUCUGAUUGGAAAAGGGUACACUAACAGCCAUUUGUUUUACAACAGUAUUUAAAACGCUUAGGUUUUAGAUAUGGGCAGAUAUGAAAUGUAGAACGAAGGCCAAAAUAACUGAAAAUAUAAAGCAAAUGAAAGGCACAGGCGGAAGACCUUCCUAUCAAAAUUCGUUGACAGAUCUCGAAAGGGAUAUCGAUAGGAUAUGCCAGCUAUCAAAAGCCGCAUCACCUGAUGGAAUAACCUUCGGUACAAAUAGGAAAGAGCCUCUUGUUUUGGAACUUACGCCACCCAGACCUUCAACUAUCGUUGCUGUUGUUACUCCCACAACUUCAGACCAAUAUUCAAAUACAGCACAAGCGACAUCAACCCCUAUCAAAGUUAUGCCGAAAGCAAACCUUUGCAAAAACCAACAGAAACGAAAGAUCGCAGAAAAGGAACAAGGGGCAGAAAUAAAACUUUUAAAAUUACAAUUGGAGCAGAAUAAUGCUUUGGUAGAAGAGAUGAAGGUGCAAACAAAAACACUCAACUCGCUGGCCAAUUCUCUCCAAGGCAUUCAACAUGUCUUGCAAGAAAUGUUAACUUUUUUUAAAAACUGAAUGAAAAUAAUUGUGUUAAGACAUUUUUUAAUCAAAUAAUCAAUUUUAUUGUUUCCCUAUUAAUUUAAUUUUAAUAAAAAAGAGCUUAAUUACAUUUUUAUUA